rnacentral:rRNA from 1 species
GAUGAACGCUGGCGGCGUGCCUAAUACAUGCAAGUCGAGCGAACGGACGAGAAGCUUGCUUUUCUGAUGUUAGCGGCGGACGGGUGAGUAACACGUGGAUAACCUACCUAUAAGACUGGGAUAACUUCGGGAAACCGGAGCUAAUACCGGAUAAUAUUUUGAACCGCAUGGUUCAAAAGUGAAAGACGGUCUUGCUGUCACUUAUAGAUGGAUCCGCGUUGCAUUAGCUAGUUGGUAAGGUAACGGCUUACCAAGGCAACGAUGCAUAGCCGACCUGAGAGGGUGAUCGGCCACACUGGAACUGAGACACGGUCCAGACUCCUACGGGAGGCAGCAGUAGGGAAUCUUCCGCAAUGGUCGAAAGCCUUACGGAGCAACGCCGCGUGAGUGAUGAAGGUCUUCGGAUCGUAAAACUCUUUUAUUAGGAAAGAACAUAUGUAUAAGUAACUGUGCACAUCUUGACGGUACCUAAUCAGAAAGCCACGGCUAACUACGUG